UACGGGGGGAGCAAGCGUUGUUCGGAUUUACUGGGCGUAAAGGGCGCGUAGGCGGCCACCGCAAGUCGACUGUGAAAUCUCCGGGCUUAACUCGGAAAGGUCAGCCGAUACUGCGGGGCUAGAGUGCAGAAGGGGCAACUGGAAUUCUCGGUGUAGCGGUGAAAUGCGUAGAUAUCGGAAGGAACGUCGGUGGCGAAAGCGGCGCGCUGGACCUCUUCUGACGCUGAGGCGCGAAAGCCAGGGGAGCGAACGGG
rnacentral:rRNA from 1 species